UACGAAGGGGGCUAGCGUUGCUCGGAAUCACUGGGCGUAAAGGGCGCGUAGGCGGCGUUUUAAGUCGGGGGUGAAAGCCUGUGGCUCAACCACAGAAUGGCCUUCGAUACUGGGACGCUUGAGUAUGGUAGAGGUUGGUGGAACUGCGAGUGUAGAGGUGAAAUUCGUAGAUAUUCGCAAGAACACCCGUGGCGAAGGCGGCUCCCUGGUCCGUCCCUGACGCUGAGACGCGAAAGCGCGGGGAGCGAACGGG
rnacentral:rRNA from 1 species